AAGACUAUACUUUCAGGGAUCAUUUCUAUAGUUCCUGACUAGGAAAUGUGUUUCUAAAGUGUUGUGUCUCUCUAACCACGAUGAUGAGUUUUGAUACUUUUUUCUGAGCAUGAAUCGGGUGUAGAAUAAUGAUUUACUUCAUAAGCUCUGCAUCAUUGAUGAAUGUUCCGUACUGUGAUUUUUACAGUACAGAGGAAAAGAGUAUGAACAGAGUGGU